UGUUACAACAAUCAAAAACAACCAAACUCUAGCACUGGUUCUUGAACACCUUAUUUAUAGGCCUAUAUGUUUUUCUAACAUUUCUUUCUCUUUAUAAACUUAAUUUUGUUUUUCUUUGGUGAAAGAAUUUCCUUCAGGAUUAAUGUUUUAUCUUCUCUUAGCUGCACAUACAGUUGUGUUAACAGAGGCAGCAACAUUGAUUCCAACAACAACAACAACUACAACUACUACAACAGUUCCAGGUACUCUCCCAACAACAUCAUCCAGGUCACAGCUUCUUCAACAACAACACCAGUUUUCUCAUGAUGCUUCUUUUCUUUUCCAGAUCCCUGUUCUUCAAACCCUUGUGGUAAAGGAAGCACGUGUGAGGCUCGAGCCAAUAAGGGCUUUGUAUGUCUGUGUCUGGCUGGUGAUAUGUACAACAACAAAACCCAACGUUGUGAGACUGCCAAAGUUUUCCCUGGACAAAUACAACUGCCUGACAUAGUAUAUGAAAACAGUAUGUCAGACAAGGCAUCACCAGCGUUCAAACAGACUGUGGACCAUAUUACCGAAGAGCUGGACAAGAGUCUGGGAUCUGAUCCUACUUACAUUCAAUCUACAGUGCUGGAACUGAGG